rnacentral:rRNA from 1 species
GACUUCGGUCUGGCGGCGAGUGGCGGACGGGUGAGUAAUGUAUCGGAACGUACCCAGUAGCGGGGGAUAACUACUCCAAAGAGUAGCUAAUACCGCAUACGCCCUACGGGGGAAAGGGGGGGAUCUUAUGACCUCUCACUAUUGGAGCGGCCGAUAUCGGAUUAGCUAGUUGGUGGGGUAAAGGCCUACCAAGGCGUCGAUCCGUAGCUGGUUUGAGAGGACGACCAGCCACACUGGGACUGAGACACGGCCCAGACUCCUACGGGAGGCAGCAGUGGGGAAUUUUGGACAAUGGGGGCAACCCUGAUCCAGCCAUCCCGCGUGUGCGAUGAAGGCCUUCGGGUUGUAAAGCACUUUUGGCAGGAAAGAAAUUGCAUGGGUUAAUACCCUGUGUAGAUGACGGUACCUGCAGAAUAAGCACCGGCUAACUACGUGCCAGCAGCCGCGGUAAUACGUAGGGUGCAAGCGUUAAUCGGAAUUACUGGGCGUAAAGCGUGCGCAGGCGGUUCGGAAAGAAAGAUGUGAAAUCCCAGGGCUUAACCUUGGAACUGCAUUUUUAACUGUCGAACUAGAGUGCGUCAGAGGGGGGUGGAAUUCCGCGUGUAGCAGUGAAAUGCGUAGAUAUGCGGAGGAACACCGAUGGCGAAGGCAGCCCCCUGGGAUGACACUGACGCUCAUGCACGAAAGCGUGGGGAGCAAA